CUGAAGUGAUUUUUUUUUAAAUUUAUAAAAGCCUAACUUCGUUAUAUUCAUUCCCACUUCGUUUUGGCCGAAUUUUUAAGAGGAAACAACCCUAGGGUUUCCCCAAAACAUAUAAGAUUCUUGAAACCAAAGAAAGAGAAGAAGAAAGGGAUGUUUGGAGACGUUGAGAUUCCUUCAAUAAGUGUGAUUGUAGAACCUUGGGAAUUAUGUUUGAGCGGGAUUUGAGGUAUGUCUAGAUUUUUCCAAAAAUCUUUCUUGAAGUAUGUCUAUAUUUCAAAAAUCAUCUUUGCAAGUAUGUCUACUUUUGAAGUACGUUUAUAUUGUGAAAGUAUGAUUUAUAUUUGAGAAUCCUUUCUUGAUUGUUUGUAUAAGUUAUAAAUCUUGUUUGGUGGAAGUUCUUUUGGAAUUAAAGAUGAUUUCUUUUAGACAAGGUCAUGUGUGUGUAGGGUCAAGCCCGCAUCGAACCUUAUAUGAACUAUACUACU